rnacentral:lncRNA from 1 species
CUCUGGCCCCCCACCAUAGGCACCUUUUGAAUUUUUAUUCCUGUUUCCAUCCUACCUGCAGUUGCCAAGAGCCAAACAAUGACGAUAAGGUAAAGGACCCUCAUGGUGAUACUCAGUGUAACCUCAGUGGACCUGGACAGAAGAGAUGCAAUGCACGGGUGGACCAGAGGCUCCUUCAGCCACUGUCCAGCUCUUCUCAAUGCAGGCUCUCUGCCUAGACACACCCAUCGCUCAUGUGCUCUCAGCUGUUGUCUAACCAUUAAGAGAGCUUCUGUUGUCUGGAAUUCUGAGACUCAGAGGUGCUUCUUCGAUAAGUCACAAAUGAGAAUGAGUCAUGGAAGCUGGGAUUUUGUUCUGGUUCUGCUGUUUACCACCCACGAAGAAGACAUUUGCAAAAGAACUGUGCAAUGCAAACUUUCAAGUGAUUGACAGAGAGUCACAUGGGAGCCUAAGGGUCAAGAUCUGGGUAAAGGUUCUAGGGUUCCAACCGAAACUUCACUUCACUCCUGAAGGACCUUGGAUUGGAGGUUUUACAUCAGGUUUCUGGCUUUUGUGAUACCAGCUGAAGAGAGAGGAAUCCCGCUUGGACUGGCUGCUGGCAGCUAGAACAGAGGACUAAAGACUCACUUCUCCACUGGACCUGAUUUGGACAGUUUUCAUCUGAAGAUCCUGGCCCACUGACUGGACUCCUUUUGUGAGAUUUUGUGUUGGGGAAACUUAAUGUUUUUAUCUUAGAUAAGUUAGGGUAAGAUAGGCUUAUAGAAAUUAGGGUUUAAUUGUAAUAAUUUUCCUUACCCUUUUUCCUUUCCCUUUCCCAAAAAUAAACCCGAUUUUUAUAUGUUUCUUUCUUGUUCU